GAGAAACUCCGCUUGGAGAAUCUUCACCUGAAAUCUUUGCAUCCUGAUUUGGGCUAAUGAAGUUUGAGAAAACCUCUACAGAAGGUGUCACAUUGAAACACCUCAUUUACAGUUCCCAUUCCAGACAGACAAUUAACUGAGCUAAUUAAUGAACUUUGCAGAAGAACCAUAAUCAACAACACACCACUUGCUUAGUCUAUUGCUAUGUGGCCAAAGGAUGCUGAAAUUCUUUUAGUGUUCUGUGCCUGAGACAUACAGCAGCAGAGUUACUGGAAGAAGGUAUCAAAUUUUCAAGGACUUGUCGCCUUUCCAACACGUGGCACCAGGCUGGAGCAGAGCUGCUGUGAAGAAAUUUUGCUCUGUCACAAGUGGCUGGUUGUAGCACUGACUAGCCUUAGGCCUGGGACCAACCUUCCCAAAACUCUGGCUGUCUGAUGCCCGUCUCUUGACCUGACAACUAUAAAGUAGAGCGCUGCUUGGCACAGAAGAGACCAUGGCCCACUGAGUCUUCAUCGUCUCUCUGCCAGAAGUAGCUGUAAAGGAUCAGUCCCCGUCAGAAGGAUCAGUCUAACUCAGAAGUGGAGUUCUUGGAGGGGUAAUAGA
rnacentral:lncRNA from 1 species